rnacentral:snoRNA from 2 species
UGCACUGUAUGGUAUCUGCAUCCAGCAAUAUUAUUGUUGGGGUGUUCAAAAGACAGUGCUAUAGAAAUUCAGUAUCUGGCAUCGUUGGUUUCAUGCUUGUCAUGCAUGUUCAGCCUGGUAUUUCUAUUGAUACAGGC